UACGUAGGGCGCAAGCGUUGUCCGGAAUUAUUGGGCGUAAAGAGCUCGUAGGCGGUUUGUCGCGUCUGCUGUGAAAACCUAAGGCUCAACCUUGGGCUUGCAGUGGGUACGGGCAGACUAGAGUGCGGUAGGGGUGACUGGAAUUCCUGGUGUAGCGGUGGAAUGCGCAGAUAUCAGGAGGAACACCGGUGGCGAAGGCGGGUCUCUGGGCCGAUACUGACGCUGAGGAGCGAAAGCGUGGGGAGCGAACAGG
rnacentral:rRNA from 1 species